rnacentral:rRNA from 1 species
UACGUAGGGUGCAAGCGUUGUCCGGAAUUAUUGGGCGUAAAGAGCUCGUAGGCGGUCUGUCACGUCGGCUGUGAAAACCUGGGGCUCAGCUCCGGGCCUGCAGCCGAUACGGGCAGACUAGAGUUCGGCAGGGGAGACUGGAAUUCCUGGUGUAGCGGUGAAAUGCGCAGAUAUCAGGAGGAACACCGGUGGCGAAGGCGCCACUCUGGGCCGGUACUGACGCUGAGGAGCGAAAGCGUGGGUAGCAAACAGG